rnacentral:lncRNA from 1 species
CCAGGCCCCGCAGCCGCCGCGUCGCCGCCAUUUUUUAAAGGGUCCGCAGCCUGACUCUGCGGAGUAAGGGGGGGUGGAGCGGGGGAGUCGGCCUCGCCAGCGCGCAUGCGCGAGGCCCGAGCCGCCGCUUGGGUCACAGUGAAAGCCACCGUUGCCCGGGGAUGGGUCCCUGACACUUGGGGAAGUAGGAGCCCUGUGUGAUCGUGCGUCUGAGUCUGGGCUGAGACCAGUCCUGGCCAGGGCAGUUACCAGGACGGUCUCCGGAGGCCGGGAUUCGCGGAGGGUCCAGCAGCAGGAAGAAACCCCAGGAGGAAGAAACCUCAGACAGAUCGCCGGCGAGGCAGCGCGGGAUCCCAGCCUCAGGCGUGCGCGGACGGUGUGCGGGUGGAAACCCCCUUCCCAUGGGGUGAAGCGCAGUCUGCUCCAGAGACCCACUGUUAGGGUCGGGGAUGUCACAGAAAUUAACAGGGCAGCCAAUUCCCAUCCAGAGGGGCCCAGGAUGACCCCGAACCCUCUAGCUCAGCCCCAAGCUCGGGCCAGGGAGUGAAGCCUUUGUCCCCAAGCAACAGAGUGAGGGUCUGUCUCUAACCCGGUGGGCUCCAGUGAAAGGAAAAUGGCCUGGAGGUGCCCACAGGAGGGCGCCCUAGUUCUGAGACAGGUCUACGGCUCCCAGACUGCGUCCCCAUGAGUAACAGAGGGACACGCAGAGGGGCAUACUGAGUGCCUAUAGGGGACUCACAGACUGCAGAUGCACGCUGCGGAUCCAGAAGCCGGUCAGGUAAUGAGGUGCAGAGGUGUGGGGAAGACCUGGGUGCUUCCCUGGGUGCCAACCAGCCUAACCCGCCGGGGCCACCAAACAGAAGUGCUUCUGACAUUAACGCGACACACAGAAGGUGUGUAGGGUGGGUAGUGGAAGUGACCGCAGAGGCCUCUGGGGAUUGUAGUUUUGGAGCUAGAGAGGCGGGCAAGCAGUUGGCUUCGCCCACACGGUGUGCCUCUCACAUCUGCACAGCGCACACAACCAAGCUUAGGAGCCGACUGUUAAGAUGCCCCAGUGACACGGACAAGUUUCUCCUCUGCAACCCAAUGAGAGCUGCUGACCACGAGAGCAUCGCGGGACCGCCAAAGGAUUCUGGAAAAUGUGGUCCCGGGUGGCCAGUGUGCGCUGACCUUCACCUGAAGGUACGGCUUGAAGGAAACUUCUGGAGGGUGGGGUGGUGUUGAAGAGAAGGCACAAUUGUCACCAUUUUGUUCAACAUGGGCGUUUUCUUUGUGCAUUGAUUUGCAUUUUUAAAGGAACUCCUCCUCAAAACAGAAGAAGCCUAUAGGAUUUUAACCUGGAAACUACUCAGGGAAUCUGGAAUAUUCCUUCCAGGGAUAUCUGCAGCUGAAACCUGGCAGUAAUUUAAACAAAACCAGACAACUCU